AGAGUUUGAUCCUGGCUCAGAACGUACGCUGGCGGCACGCCUAACACAUGCAAGUCGAACGAAGUAGCAAUACUUAGUGGCAGACGGGUGAGUAACAUGUAGGUAUCUGCCCUUUGGCCUGGAAUAACACGAGGAAACUUGUGCUAAUACCGGAUAAGUCUUUACGGAGAAAGCUUAAUGCACCAUUGGAUGAGCCUGCACUUGAUUAGUUUGUUGGUGGGGUAAUGGCCUACCAAGACUUUGAUCAAUAGCUGAUUUGAGAGGAUGAUCAGCCACAUUGGGACUGAGACACGGCCCAAACUCCUACGGGAGGCAGCAGUGGGGAAUCUUGCACAAUGGAGGAAACUCUGAUGCAGCGAUGCCGCGUGAGUGAAGAAGGCCUUUGGGUUGUAAAGCUCUUUCGUCGGGGAAGAAAAUGACUGUACCCGAAUAAGAAGGUCCGGCUAACUUCGUGCCAGCAGCCGCGGUAAUACGAAGGGACCUAGCGUAGUUCGGAAUUACUGGGCUUAAAGAGUUCGUAGGUGGUUGAAAAAGUUGGUGGUGAAAUCCCAGAGCUUAACUCUGGAACUGCCAUCAAAACUUUUCAGCUAGAGUAUGAUAGAGGAAAGCAGAAUUUCUAGUGUAGAGGUGAAAUUCGUAGAUAUUAGAAAGAAUACCAAUUGCGAAGGCAGCUUUCUGGAUCAUUACUGACACUGAGGAACGAAAGCAUGGGUAGCGAAGAGGAUUAGAUACCCUCGUAGUCCAUGCCGUAAACGAUGUGUGUUAGACGUUGGAAAUUUAUUUUCAGUGUCGCAGCGAAAGCGAUAAACACACCGCCUGGGGAGUACGACCGCAAGGUUAAAACUCAAAUGAAUUGACGGGGACCCGCACAAGUAGUGGAGCAUGUGGUUUAAUUCGAAGAUACGCGCAGAACCUUACCAACACUUGACAUGUUCGUCGCGACUUUAAGAGAUUAAAGUUUUCGGUUCGGCCGGACGAAACACAGGUGCUGCAUGGCUGUCGUCAGCUCGUGUCGUGAGAUGUUGGGUUAAGUCCCGCAACGAGCGCAACCCUCACUUUUAGUUGCCAUCAUUAAGUUGGGCACUCUGAAAGAACUGCCAGUGAUAAGCUGGAGGAAGGUGGGGAUGACGUCAAGUCCUCAUGGCCCUUACGUGUUGGGCUACACACGUGCUACAAUGGUAUCUACAACAGGAAGCAAGACUGCGAAGUUAAGCAAAUCCCUAAAAGAUACCUCAGUUCGGAUUGCACUCUGCAACUCGAGUGCAUGAAGCUGGAAUUACUAGUAAUCGUGGAUCAGCGUGCCACGGUGAAUGCGUUCCCGGGUCUUGUACACACCGCCCGUCACACCAUGGGAGUUGGUUCUACCUUAAGGCAAGGUUUCAAACCCUUGACCACGGUAUAGUCAGCGACUGGGGUGAAGUCGUAACAAGGUAACC
rnacentral:rRNA from 2 species